GAACUUUGCAUGCGGAAAAUUUCACGUUUCACGCGAUUACAAUAACGUAGCGUCAGUAGGAAGAGCACAAAGUUGAUGAGUGAAAGCACACCAAUUGGUCCGGAGAAGAAGAGUAGAUUAGCCGAAGCAAAAGUGCCAUCUGUGAACCAGCAGCGUCCUUGCUUAAAGUUCGGACGUAAAUUCUCGCUCAGAAAAUCCGAUUUGGCCAGUGACACUGUAAUGGUCGUCAUGAGUGUAGGUAGCCCCCAGCCGUAAAGUGAGUAGAGCAGAAAGCGUCCGGUAUCCUUUGUCUGGAAACCGCGUUUCUUUUUUGCGGAACUAGAAAGGAAAAUUUAUAAUAUUUUAUUACCCUUUUGGAGGCUUUUUAUACUGAACUAUUUAUCCAUAAGCUCUAAUUUGUCUAUGGUUAUGGGGACAGACAUGCUCGUUUCUUUUAUGAUGGUGAGAUUUUUUUGUUACUCCUGUCAAUGCAUUCAUUCAAAACUUAAUUACGCCCGCCAUCAUUACAUAUGCACAUAUAUUAUAGAAUAGCGAUUAUCUCCGAAUGAACACUCAUAUAUAGGUACUAGAAGAUUUAGUAAACCAAAGUUCCCUUUAAUAAAUGGAUUUUAAUGAAACACCCAGUAUAUUUCUUCUUCUUCUUUUUUGUUACAACAACCGGUCUGAGCCGAAAACGCAAAACUUCACCAGUUGCCUAUAUCCUUUGCGUAGUCACGCCAGUUGUACUUCCCAAGUAUAGACAGGUCUCUACGCACUUGGUUCUUCCAUCGCAUCCGUUAUUCACCCAUGGGUCCCAAAUGGAAUGAUAUUUUCACUGGAGCAUUAUCUUCCAUACGUCCGACAACCAACGCAUUCUUUGGAUUUUUACAUUUCAUACAGUUCAUGGUUCCAUAAUCUUCGGCACUCCUCGCUCAGAUGAAUGCCUACGCAGAACUUGCGGACAACAGUUCUCUCAAAU